rnacentral:rRNA from 1 species
AAUAGAUACCCGGGUAGUCCACGCCGUAAACGAUGAGUGCUAAGUGUUAGAGGGUUUCCGCCCUUUAGUGCUGCAGCUAACGCAUUAAGCACUCCGCCUGGGGAGUACGGCCGCAAGGCUGAAACUCAAAGGAAUUGACGGGGGCCCGCACAAGCGGUGGAGCAUGUGGUUUAAUUCGAAGCAACGCGAAGAACCUUACCAGGUCUUGACAUCCUCUGCCAACCCUAGAGAUAGGGCGUUCCCCUUCGGGGGACAGAGUGACAGGUGGUGCAUGGUUGUCGUCAGCUCGUGCGUGAGAUGUUGGGUUAAGUCCCGCAACGAGCGCAACCCUUGAUCUUAGUUGCCAGCAUUCAGUUGGGCACUCUAAGGUGACUGCCGGUGACAAACCGGAGGAAGGUGGGGAUGACGUCAAAUCAUCAUGCCCCUUAUGACCUGGGCUACACACGUGCUACAAUGGAUGGUACAAAGAGCUGCGAACCCGUGAGGGUAAGCGAAUCUCAUAAAGCCAUUCUCAGUUCGGA